rnacentral:rRNA from 1 species
GAUGAACGCUGGCGGCGUGCCUAAUACAUGCAAGUCGAGCGAACAGACGAGGAGCUUGCUCCUUUGACGUUAGCGGCGGACGGGUGAGUAACACGUAGGUAACCUACCUAUAAGACUGGGAUAACUUCGGGAAACCGGAGCUAAUACCGGAUAAUAUUUCGAACCGCAUGGUUCGAUAGUGAAAGAUGGCUUUGCUAUCACUUAUAGAUGGACCUGCGCCGUAUUAGCUAGUUGGUAAGGUAACGGCUUACCAAGGCAACGAUACGUAGCCGACCUGAGAGGGUGAUCGGCCACACUUGAUCUGAGACACGGUCCAGACUCCUACGGGAGGCAGCAGUAGGGAAUCUUCCGCAAUGGGCGAAAGCCUGACGGAGCAACGCCGCGUGAGUGAUGAAGGUCUUCGGAUCGUAAAACUCUGUUAUUAGGGAAGAACAAACGUGUAAGUAACUGUGCACGUCUUGACGGUACCUAAUCAGAAAGCCACGGCGAACUACGU